rnacentral:rRNA from 1 species
AACGAACGCUGGUGGUAUGCCUAAUACAUGCAAGUCGAACGAGAAAGCUCUUCGGAGUGAGUAAAGUGGCGCACGGGUGAGUAACGCGUAGGUGAUCUGCCUUUUAGUGGAGGACAACAUCGGGAAACCGGUGCUAAUACUGCAUGUGGUGGAGGAAAUUGAAAAACUUCAUCAAAGGGGGCUUCGGCUCCCGCUAGAAGAGGAGCCUGCGUGACAUUAGUUUGAUGGUGGGGUAACGGCCUACCAUGGCGAUGAUGUCUAGCUGGUCUGAGAGGAUGAUCAGUCACACUGGAACUGAGACACGGUCCAG